CAGUCGCCGCGGUAAUACGUAGGUGGCAAGCGUUGUCCGGAAUUAUUGGGCGUAAAGGGCUCGCAGGCGGUUUCUUAAGUCUGAUGUGAAAGCCCCCGGCUCAACCGGGGAGGGUCAUUGGAAACUGGGAAACUUGAGUGCAGAAGAGGAGAGUGGAAUUCUACGUGUAGCGGUGAAAUGCGUAGAGAUGUGGAGGAACACCAGUGGCGAAGGCGGCUCUCUGGUCUGUAACUGACGCUGAGGAGCGAAAGCGUGGGGAGCGAACAGGAUUAGAUACCCGCGUAGUCCCUGUCUCUUAUAC
rnacentral:rRNA from 1 species